rnacentral:rRNA from 1 species
UGAGGAAUAUUGGUCAAUGGGCGAGAGCCUGAACCAGCCAAGUAGCGUGCAGGACGACGGCCCUAUGGUUUGUAAACUGCUUUUAUGUGGGGAUAAAGUGCGUGACGUGUCAUGCAUUGCAGGUACCACAUGAAUAAGGACCGGCUAAUUCCGUGCCAGCAGCCGCGGUAAUACGGUAGGUCCGGGCGUUAUCCGGAUUUAUUGGGUUUAAAGGGAGCGUAGGCCGCCAGAUAAGCGUGUUGUGAAAUGUACCGGCUCAACCGGUGAAUUGCAGCGCGAACUGUUUGGCUUGAGUGCACGGUAAGCAGGCGGAAUUCAUGGUGUAGCGGUGAAAUGCUUAGAUAUCAUGAAGAACUCCGAUUGCGAAGGCAGAUUGCUGCAGUGCGACUGACGCUGAUGCUCGAAGGUGCGGGUAUCAAACAGG